GGGUGAUUAGCUCAGCUGGGAGAGCACCUCCCUUACAAGGAGGGGGUCGGCGGUUCGAUCCCGUCAUCACC
rnacentral:tRNA from 7 species